rnacentral:rRNA from 1 species
AGGGCGUGCCUAAUACAUGCAAGUCGAACGAACUCUGGUAUUGAUUGGUGCUUGCAUCAUGAUUUACAUUUGAGUGAGUGGCGAACUGGUGAGUAACACGUGGGAAACCUGCCCAGAAGCGGGGGAUAACACCUGGAAACAGAUGCUAAUACCGCAUAACAACUUGGACCGCAUGGUCCGAGUUUGAAAGAUGGCUUCGGCUAUCACUUUUGGAUGGUCCCGCGGCGUAUUAGCUAGAUGGUGGGGUAACGGCUCACCAUGGCAAUGAUACGUAGCCGACCUGAGAGGGUAAUCGGCCACAUUGGGACUGAGACACGGCCCAAACUCCUACGGGAGGCAGCAGUAGGGAAUCUUCCACAAUGGACGAAAGUCUGAUGGAGCAACGCCGCGUGAGUGAAGAAGGGUUUCGGCUCGUAAAACUCUGUUGUUAAAGAAGAACAUAUCUGAGAGUAACUGUUCAGGUAUUGACGGUAUUUAACCAGAAAGCCACGGCUAACUACGUGCCAGCAGCCGCGGUAAUACGUAGGUGGCAAGCGUUGUCCGGAUUUAUUGGGCGUAAAGCGAGCGCAGGCGGUUUUUUAAGUCUGAUGUGAAAGCCUUCGGCUCAACCGAAGAAGUGCAUCGGAAACUGGGAAACUUGAGUGCAGAAGAGGACAGUGGAACUCCAUGUGUAGCGGUGAAAUGCGUAGAUAUAUGGAAGAACACCAGUGGCGAAGGCGGCUGUCUGGUCUGUAACUGACGCUGAGGCUCGAAAGUAUGGGUAGCAAACAGGAUUAGAUACCCUGGUAGUCCAUACCGUAAACGAUGAAUGCUAAGUGUUGGAGGGUUUCCGCCCUUCAGUGCUGCAGCUAACGCAUUAAGCAUUCCGCCUGGGGAGUACGGCCGCAAGGCUGAAACUCAAAGGAAUUGACGGGGGCCCGCACAAGCGGUGGAGCAUGUGGUUUAAUUCGAAGCUACGCGAAGAACCUUACCAGGUCUUGACAUACUAUGCAAAUCUAAGAGAUUAGACGUUCCCUUCGGGGACAUGGAUACAGGUGGUGCAUGGUUGUCGUCAGCUCGUGUCGUGAGAUGUUGGGUUAAGUCCCGCAACGAGCGCAACCCUUAUUAUCAGUUGCCAGCAUUAAGUUGGGCACUCUGGUGAGACUGCCGGUGACAAACCGGAGGAAGGUGGGGAUGACGUCAAAUCAUCAUGCCCCUUAUGACCUGGGCUACACACGUGCUACAAUGGAUGGUACAACGAGUUGCGAACUCGCGAGAGUAAGCUAAUCUCUUAAAGCCAUUCUCAGUUCGGAUUGUAGGCUGCAACUCGCCUACAUGAAGUCGGAAUCGCUAGUAAUCGCGGAUCAGCAUGCCGCGGUGAAUACGUUCCCGGGCCUUGUACACACCGCCCGUCACACCAUGAGAGUUUGUAACACCCAAAGUCGGUGGGGUAACCUUUUAGGAACCAGCCGCCUAAGGUGGGACAGAUGAUUAGGGUGAAGUCGAAGAAAGGUGCU